rnacentral:tRNA from 1 species
GAAAAGGUAGUUCAGUGGUAGAACGCUUGCCUUGCAUGCAUGAGGCCCUGUUCA